AUACGGAGGGGGCUAGCGUUGUUCGGAAUUACUGGGCGUAAAGCGUACGUAGGCGGACUGAUCAGUUGGGGUUGAAAUCCCAGGGCUUAACCCUGGAACUGCCUUCAAUACUGUCAGUCUUGAGUUUGGGAGAGGUGAGUGGAAUUCCUAGUGUAGAGGUGAAAUUCAUAGAUAUUAGGAGGAACACCAGUGGCGAAGGCGGCUCACUGGCCCAUUACUGACGCUGAGGUACGAAAGCGUGGGGAGCAAACAGGAGUAGAUACCCUAGUAGUCC
rnacentral:rRNA from 1 species